AUCGCUUAUAUGGUCAUCUGAGGUCAAAUCGAUAGUUAAUUAGAUGGCGUCUGGACUAAAAUACACACGAAACGAACCUAUAUAUUAUCUACCCCAUGCUCUGUCAACUGUUUAUUUUAGACUUUUGAUAGUUUGAAUAAAUGUUUUACAUUGUUAUAAAUUAAAUAUGAGAAUUUGAGUCAAAUCGGUUACCAUGAAUUUGACAGC
rnacentral:lncRNA from 1 species